CAGUCGCCGCGGUAAUACAGAGGGUGCGAGCGUUAAUCGGAUUUACUGGGCGUAAAGCGUGCGUAGGCGGCUAAUUGAGUCGGAUGUGAAAUCCCCGAGCUUAACUUAGGAAUUGCAUUCGAUACUGGGAAGCUAGAGUAUGGGAGAGGAUGGUAGAAUUCCAGGUGUAGCGGUGAAAUGCGUAGAGAUCUGGAGGAAUACCGAUGGCGAAGGCAGCCAUCUGGCCUAAUACUGACGCUGAGGUACGAAAGCAUGGGGAGCAAACAGGAUUAGAUACCCGCGUAGUCCCUGUCUCUUAUAC
rnacentral:rRNA from 1 species